rnacentral:rRNA from 1 species
AGUCGAGCGCCCAGGACUCUGUUUAUCAGUUUAUGAUAGAUAUAGUCCUGGGAGCGGCAGACGGGUGAGUAACACGUUGGUAUCCACCUUGAAAUCAGGGAUAACCUUUAGAAAUAAGGGCUAAUACCGGAUAGUCUCGAAAGAGUAAAGCAGCAAUGCGUUUCAAGAGGUGCCUGCGGCCUAUCAGCUAGUUGGUGAGGUAAUGGCUCACCAAGGCUAUGACGGGUAGCUGGUCUGAGAGGACGAUCAGCCACAAUGGGACUGAGACACGGCCCAUACUCCUACGGGAGGCAGCAGUAAGGAAUUUUUCACAAUGGGGGAAACCCUGAUGAAGCAACGCCGCGUGAAGGAUGAAGGCCUUUUGGUUGUAAACUUCUUUUCUGAGGGAAUAAAUAUGAAUGUACCUCAGGAAUAAGCAACGGCUAACUACGUGCCAGCAGCCGCGGUAAGACGUAGGUUGCAAGCGUUAUCCGGAAUUACUGGGCGUAAAGAGUUCGUAGGCUUUUUGUUAAGUAGAGUAUUAAAUACCAGAGCUCAACUCUGGGAAUGUACUCUAAACUGGCGAAAUCGAGUUGGACAGAGGUAAAUGGAAUUCUGUGUGUAGGGGUAAUAUCCGUAGAUAUACAGAGGAACACCAAAAGCGAAGGCAAUUUACUGGGUCCAUACUGACGCUCAAGAACGAAAGCGUGGGGAGCAAACAGGAUUAGAUACCCUGGUAGUCCACGCCCUAAACUAUGAUCACUCGAUGUUGGAGGAUUCGACCCCUUCAGUGUCUAAGCUAACGCGAUAAGUGAUCCGCCUGGGUAGUACGGUCGCAAGACUAAAACUCAAAGGAAUAGACGGGGACCCGCACAAGCGGUGGAGCAUCUGGUUUAAUUCGACAGUAAGCGAAAAAUCUCACCAAGGCUUGACAUCCCGAGAAGACCGCCGAAAGGUGGUUGUGCCGUAAGGAACUCGGAGACAGGUGCUGCAUGGUUGUCGUCAGCUCGUGCCUUGAGGUGUUCGGUUAAGUCCGUAAACGAGCGCAACCCAUGUCAUAAGUUAUAUAUGUCUUAUGAGACUGCCGAUUCUAAGUCGGAGGAAGGUAUGGAUGACGUCAAAUCAGCAUGGCCCUUAUGCCCUGGGCUACACAGGUGCUACAAUGGCAGAUAUAAUAGGAAGCCAAACGGUAACGUGGAGCAAAUCCUCAAAGUCUGUCUAAGUUCGGAUUGAGGGCUGAAAUUCGCCCUCAUGAAGCUGGAAUCGCUAGUAACCGCAAAUCAGCAUGUUGCGGUGAAUAUGUUCCCGGGUCUUGUACUCACCGCCCGUCAAGUCAUGAAAGAUUGGAGUGCCCGAAGUCCCUUUAGCUU